ensembl:lncRNA
GUGAGUUCUGUAUGGGCAUCCUUUCUCCUCUUGGGUAAAAAUGGCUUAGGGAGCCUGCCAUUUCAUUUAACUUUUUGUGUAUAUGGAAAGGAGCUAUGUAUGUAUAGAUGAAAUGUAUAAUUCCUCCCUAUUUUUGCAGUCACAGUAGUGGUUUCCAUAGCAACUUGCAUAGAGUUUGGAAGGAGGUGCACAGCCCGUCUUUAGGAGGAAGUUGAAAGUCUGCAGUGCAUGAAGACUUCUCAUCCCCUUCCUCUGCAGUUCAGCCUCAGGGAAGGACCCUGUCAGGACUGGGUCCCAAGUGUCUUGGUGCUCUGUUUACUCUCCCUCUUGAAUAAACUCUGAGGGCUUUCAAUUGGGGCACUACAGACACCAGCAUGUCUAAAUGAAUUGAACACCUGCUGACACGACCGAUCAUAGAGGUUGGGUGAAAAGAAAAGUCUGAGACAGAUUUGAGUCACCAGAAUAAAUCUGAAUUGUGGAGCAACAGAAGACGUAAAAUAGAAGACUUUCAUCUAUGAAAGCUCAUAGAUGGCUGCAUGUGGAAUUUGGUAGUUACAAAGUUACAGAACAGUGCAAUAAGUCUAAAAUUUGAAUUUUUGAAAUACUGACAAUACUCCCACAGAAGUCAUUAACACUUCUGUUCAAAAGAUGGACAUUAUUUUGCAGGUCUGUUUUGCAUGUUUGUAUAAUGUCUUCUGUUUCACAGUGUUCUAUUAUGGGGCUGCUAGCUGGACUGCUGACCUCAUCUCUGGGUCUGCAUGACUGUGAUAUGAUAUGAUACAGAACAAAAUGUCUGUAAUAUCUGUAUCCUACAGAGCAUUAACUACAAUUAGAGUGUCAGUUUAGUUUGAAUGAGGUGCCAUUUGUUUUUUCCCAACAAAAAAACUGCUCCCAACACUCAGUUGCCUGGAUAAAACGCUGUCUCUUGAAAACCUCAGCGAGAAAACAGCUUAUCCUGAAGGUGAACAUCCUGACACAAAUGGUGAGUAAUCUACUUGAAAUAGUCAUAAUGUGACCUGAAAUGUCUUUCUGACAGUGCACAUGGCUUUUUCUCCUGCUCUGGGCUUUUGAACAUUAGAUGACCCUUCAGCUUUUACCUGAGAACAGUACCAUCAGACCUUUUCAUCCCAGCUCAGCUGAAGCAGGUUGCUAGAAUUGGGUCAGAUUGCUGUGCUUUCAGACAAGUUGAAUUCCUUCCUCAGGAGAUUGUUGACAAGCUCAGGAAUUGGACAUACCUCCGUCAAAGCAUGGCAGUAAUCCUUUUUAUGUAUUUAUUUCUACUUCAUCAACUCCGAACAAGAGUUCUCCUUAGAACAUAUGCUUCACUGGAGUUCUGGUUGUGCAGAGUAUUCUGCAUAUGGUGUAUUUUCUGGUGUGUAUAACUCCAUUCCCACCUCAUGUAUUUUUGACAGGGUAUCUCUUGUAGUUAGGAUAAUAAAAAUCACUUGUUAGACUGCAUUCUGAGGGGAAGAAACAUUCUUGUGUUGUAGCUCCUGUUCAGCAAGCUGUCUGAUCUGUGUUGGAGGAAAAAAUCAAUACACAGUUUGACUAGAGAAGUCAGAUCAAAUAUCAAUGUUUACUUUUUAUUUAGAGAGUUCAGGUGCUUUUUGUAGCAAAGCAAUUAAGCUGCUCCUAAUAGUACUACAGUAC